rnacentral:rRNA from 1 species
ACUACGGGGGGCAGCAGUAGGGAAUAUUGCUCAAUGGGGGAAAGCCUGAAGCAGCAACGCCGCGUGUAGGAUGAAGGUUUUCGGAUUGUAAACUCCUUUUGUUAGAGAAGAUAAUGACGGUAUCUAACGAAUAAGCACCGGCUAACUCCGUGCCAGCAGCCGCGGUAAUACGGAGGGUGCACGCGUUACUCGGAAUCACUGGGCGUAAAGAGCGCGUAGGCGGGAUAGCAAGUCAGAUGUGAAAUCCUAUGGCUUAACCAUAGAACUGCAUUUGAAACUGUUAUUCUAGAGUAUGGGAGAGGUAGGUGGAAUUCUUGGUGUAGGGGUAAAAUCCGUAGAGAUCAAGAGGAAUACUCAUUGCGAAGGCGACCUGCUAGAACAUAACUGACGCUGAUGCGCGAAAGCGUGGGGAGCAAACAGGAUUAGAUACCCCAGUAGUC